GAACCCGUGCGACCACGAUCCGUUCCCAGACCUGCACCCCCUCGAUCCCGUCCCUAAUCCACCACCCCCUCGAUCGGCGGCUACCCUCCCCGAAUCAGGCCACCACCGUCGCCUCCCUCCCGAAUCGCGCCACCACCGCCGCCCCGCCCCACGACGCGCAGCACCCGGCCUCCCAGCGAGCCGCCGCCCCGCCCCCCGGCGCACCGCCUCCGUUCCUCCCACCGUGCUGCCGCCUUGCCCCAUGGCGCCCAGCCGCUCCGCCCUCCACCGCCUGAUCUCCGCCGCCCACCGGACCUGACAAGAGGCUCCACCCUUGGCCACGGAUAGGGGCUGCGGCCUUCUCCGGGCGCCGCCGUGACCUUCCCAGAGGGGCCACCACGACCUUCCCCAGCUCUGCCCUCUGCUACGGCUGCCGUCGGCGGCCUUCUAUCCAUGCUGGAGCUGCCCCCCGCCUGGAUCCGGCCUCGCACAGCCCCCUCGCCUGGAUUUGGUCUCGGCGCCGCCCCACUCCUGGGUCCGGCUGCCGUGCCAACCCCGCACCUGGGUCUGGCCGCCGCAGUGCACUCGCCCCACUCCUAGGUCCGACAGCCGCGCCGCCCCCGCGCCUGGGUCCAACCAUCAGCACCCCCACCCCCUGGCACACAAGCGCCGACAUCUACCCCAAUCCCCAAGCACACCGCCCAAAGGGCCCAUGCCCCAUCCCCCGACACUAUCCUGCCUCGCUGGCGCACCAUGGACGUCUUCCUCUUCUACCUAGAACUUCUUCAUCCUUGGUGCUUGCGUGCACAUGACAGCCACAUGUGGUGUGAGGAGAAGCCAAGCUAAAAGAAGAACACACUUUCUUAGACGUGUGUGCACGCAAGACAGGCACAGAGAAGUUCGGAGCCGCCGACCCCAACAGCGGAACAACAGCUAUGAUCGAGGUGAUUCUUGUGUUAUAACAUAUAUAUGUUCUCAGCAAUCCAGUAGGCUGUUCUUUGCUCUGAACUCUGCACCGUGGCAUAAUACAGUAAUCCUGACCGCUCCUUCUGAAUAACGGAGUUGACUUAUCAGCAGAAAGUCUUGAACAAUAUGACCAUCUCUGCUUAUGAAAACGUUGUUAUCUUCACUCCCCAUCCAUCUAGUUAGCGCAAAGGUUUUCUCUGCUGCAAAAGCAAGGAUGGAGGCCUCGAAGGACCAUCAUUUUCUGUAGCUGGGAUGCGGAAGAGUACGGAUUGACAGGAUCAACUGAAUGGGUUGAAGAAAACAGGUUGCAUAUCUGAAUAUUGAUGUUUCAGAGUCGGUCCAGUUUUACUCCCAUCUACAACUCCCCAACUUGAUGAACUACUACUGGAAUCAAUUAAACUGGAAAGAGUACUAACUGAUAGUCAGUUAUUUGGUUUUGGUCAUACAAAAGAGUAGCUGUUGAGUGGUCAACACUCUACAGUGGGUGCGUCAACUUUGAACCACCUGUCUCUGACAAUAUCAUGCUUAUGCUAUUUUUCUUAUUAAUAACAAGAUGGUCAAAAAGUCAAAACAUUCUCUUUUUUCAAUUCAUGAAGGUUCAAGACCCUGACAAUUCAUCUUAGACGGCUUAUGAUUCAUGGGUUAAAUCCAAUGCUUCUCCCAACUUGAGUUGUAAAAUGACUUCCUUAUACAGUUAGCACACUGUUAUCACUUGCGAUAUAUAGUACUGAUUGCUGUCAAACUCUGGGUUCCUUUGUGCGUAAAAUGAAGCCUGCAGCUUCGGGGUUUCAUGUCUGGAUCUUCAUUUCUAAAUUUUAGCUCCAACUCUGAAAAUGUUCCUAGCUAUUUACUGUAGUUAACAUAUAUUGUCUCUGAUAUCCUGCAUGAAGAUUCAAUGACUGGGCAAUGGAGGAUCAGACUAUGUAGCAUUCGUUCAAGAUGUUGGCAUUCCAUCCACCAACUUGAUAUUUGGAGAAGGGCCAAGAUAUCUUGUUUACCACUCUUUAUACGAUGAUUUUGUAAGGGUGGAGAAGUUCGCGGACCCUGGGUUCUGUAGGCAUGUCGCAGCUGCUAGCCACUGUAGCAUCAACGACAACAGCGCGGCGCUCCUGGUGCUCCUCUCCCUCUACUGCCUUGCAUGCUACAAUGCCACCGCCUCCUCACUGUACAGAAAAUUUGAGUGAGGAAAAAUUCCAGCUCAUGAACGAACAUGAAGAAGUUCUAAUGUGAUGGUGCUAUUCCCUGUAGUUAUUUGUUUCUCGUGAUUGCAUUUGGUUGUGGCUGAUGGAUCUCUAUCUUAAUAUAUUAUUUGCUUUAUUCUA